GACGAACGCUGGCGGCGUGCCUAAUACAUGCAAGUCGAACGAACCGCGACUAAGUGCUUGCACUAAGUCAAGGUGAGUGGCGAACGGGUGAGUAACACGUGGGUAACCUACCUCAUAGUGGGGGAUAACAGUCGGAAACGACUGCUAAUACCGCAUAGGACAUAGGAUCACAUGAUCCAGUGAGGAAAGGUGGCGCAAGCUAUCGCUAAGAGAUGGACCCGCGGUGCAUUAGCUAGUUGGUAGGGUAAAGGCCUACCAAGGCGAUGAUGCAUAGCCGACCUGAGAGGGUGAUCGGCCACAUUGGGACUGAGACACGGCCCAAACUCCUACGGGAGGCAGCAGUAGGGAAUCUUCCGCAAUGGACGCAAGUCUGACGGAGCAACGCCGCGUGAGUGAAGAAGGUCUUCGGAUCGUAAAGCUCUGUUGUUAGAGAAGAACAGCGCAUAGAGUAACUGCUAUGCGUGUGACGGUAUCUAACUAGAAAGCCACGGCUAACUACGUG
rnacentral:rRNA from 1 species